AAUAUUGCACAAUGGAGGAAACUCUGAUGCAGCGACGCCGCGUGAACGAUGAAGGCUUUCGGGUCGUAAAGUUCUGUCCUUGGGGACGAUAAUGACGGUACCCAAGGAGGAAGCCCCGGCUAACUACGUGCCAGCAGCCGCGGUAAUACGUAGGGGGCAAGCGUUGUCCGGAUUUAUUGGGCGUAAAGGGUUCGCAGGUGGCCUUUUAAGUCAGAUGUGAAAGAUCAAGGCUUAACCUUGGUAAGCAUUUGAAACUGAAAGGCUUGAGUUAAGGAGAGGAAAGUGGAAUUCCUAGUGUAGCGGUGAAAUGCGUAGAUAUUAGGAGGAAUACCAGUGGCGAAGGCGACUUUCUGGACUUAUACUGACACUGAGGAACGAAAGCAUGGGGAGCAAACA
rnacentral:rRNA from 1 species